GACGAACGCUGGCGGCGUGCUUAACACAUGCAAGUCGAACGGAAAGGCUCCAGCUUGCUGGUGUACUCGAGUGGCGAACGGGUGAGUAACACGUGGGUAAUCUGCCCUGCACUCUGGGAUAAGCCUGGGAAACUGGGUCUAAUACUGGAUAUGACCUUUCUCCUUAUGGGGUUUGGUGGAAAGUUUUUCGGUGUAGGAUGAGCCCGCGGCCUAUCAGCUUGUUGGUGGGGUGAUGGCCUACCAAGGCGACGACGGGUAGCCGGCCUGAGAGGGUGAUCGGCCACAUUGGGACUGAGCUACGGCCCAGACUCCUACGGGAGGCAGCAGUGGGGAAUAUUGCACAAUGGGCGGAAGCCUGAUGCAGCGACGCCGCGUGAGGGAUGACGGCCUUCGGGUUGUAAACCUCUUUCAGCAGGGACGAAGCGUAAGUGACGGUACCUGCAGAAGAAGCACCGGCUAACUACGUG
rnacentral:rRNA from 1 species